AUGGAGGUUCCUGGACCAGGGAUUGAAUCUGAGCUGCAGCUGCAAUCUACGUUACGCUGCAGCUGUGGCAACACUGGAUCUUUUAACCCACUGUACCAGGCCCUAGGACUGAACCUGCACCUCUGUAGCAAUCUGAGCUACUGCAGUCAGAUUCUUAACACACUGCACCAGAGCAGGAACUCCUGAACUGUUGGGAAAAGGAAAAACUUACCUUUAUCAGGAAUUUCUGGAAUUACUGUAUGGCGGUAACAUCCAAAAGGAAAACGGAGUUGAGACAAGGCAGAGGGAAAGGGGGAGAGGAACGGCAGAGGGAAGGGUAAAGGGGAGGGGCUGGUUCGGGGUAUUUUUAACCACAUGGACCCCAAAUUCAUUCCUUGCUUAAGUCAGUAUGAGUUGGAUUUUUCUGUCACUUACAUCUAAGUUCUAACACAAAAUCUAUCCAGCUAUGAUCAUGUUCAAAAUGGGGCAGUUCAUCAGAUGUGAGGAGAUUCUAUGUCCUCAGAGGUACUCUGAUGGUCCCCAGGGAAAUGCAGGGUCAAUAAGAUAAGGCUCCUCUGUACAAGGAUGCUGUUCUAAACACUUGAACUUUUUCCAACUCUCAGGGACAUAAUGUCUUUUUUCUAAGCAAGAUGUUCUUCUACAAAGAUUUUUGCAAGUAAGGGGAAAAGGCUGGGGGGGGGGGAGGGAAGAGUCCUGAUUGUGUAUUGUUACUGUACAGUAAACAUAUUUCUUAACUCCCAGAGAAAUAGCUAGCACUCAGAAAAUGGGUUUUGGGGACAUGAAGAAGAAGGGCCAUUAUUAUCUAAUGAGGGCCUUAGGCAGAAUCCUUGAAGAGGGCCAAAGACUGUUACCAGAAUGACUUGGCUGAAAUUAUACUUAUGUAUUCAUUCUGAUGGAAUAUCAGGUGUGCAGUAAAAUAUUAGAUUACAUUACUAGACACUCUACUAAACAUAGAUUUUAUAUGUAUAAUUUUUUAUGGAGGGAUAAAUAUUUUAGAUUGGUACUGGCUUACACAUGAAGGCGUUUAUCUGCUUAAGAUUUCUCUUUACUAUUUCCAUAUAAUCCUUGUGUCUACCAUGCAUUCAUGCACCUGUAUCAGAGGAAAAGAACAAUGAUCCUUAUACUCUACUUCAUACAAAUUUUACAUUUUAAAGCUCCUGGAAAAUACUGUUGACUCACCAAACAUUUUAUUUUUAUUUAAAAAAUUUUUUGGCCACUCUCUGAGCAUGCAGAAAUUCCCAAGCUAAGGACUGAACCCACAUCGCAGCAGUGACCUGAGCCGCAUCAGUGAAAAUGCCAGAUUCUUAGCCGGCUGAACCACCAGGGAACUCCGUGACUCAAAAAUGUUAAAAGAACAGAUUAUCUGUUCCUUUUUUUUUUCUUUUGAAGAAAGGAAACAGUAGAGAUAGCCAGUAAUGAAUUGUCCUCAACAAGCCCAGUGAAUGCAUGUGUAUAGAAAUAUUUGCAGUACAGUGGGGUGAGAGAAUAGUAUCAUUUAGAGAAUAACAGUGUGUGGAGCAAUGAGAAGUCACUGCUCCAAGCCAGAGGGUGUCAAGAUCAGUGUCCAUCUGUAAGAGAGGCUCUUGUGAUCACCAUCAGUCACCCCAACACUGGACAGCCCCACCCCCUCACUCCAUGGUGGAAAGUCAGAUGCACAGGGCAGCCCACUGAAUUUACCGUCACUGUCUCUGUUCUAUGCAGAGUUCCUUGGGAAUGCAGUGAUAAAUGCUCCAGCUUCCACAGACCCAGCCACAGGUUUCCCAUGACAGAUAUGGCCCGGACCCCAAGGCCUUCAGGAGUCAGUGCUGUCUGAACAUACCCUCUGCCAUUUUGACCCAGGAUGCACCCACAGUGCUGGGAUUACCUGUCCAAAGAGGUUCCAGUGUUAGUGUUCUGCUCAGCUGAUCAAAGCCUUGGCACUGAACCAGGGACACCACUGCAAAUCCUCCUGGUUUAUAGCAAACUGAGUCUGAGGACUUAAUUACCCCUGCUGGCCAUCUGGGGCUUUUGAGGGCCAGCAGGCCACUUUGAUGGCACUGAUCCUGACUGUGGAGGAGUCUGCAUUAGAUGCUGAUGGAGUGUGAAAUCUCAUCUAUCCAGAGAGCUAGAGCUUGAGGCUCCACCCCUCAAACACACAGUUCUCUCCUCUCUUGGCACCUGGGUGGCUAUUUCCUUUACAUUUAUAUCACACACGGAU
rnacentral:lncRNA from 1 species